AUGCAUUGGACAAUUCUGCAAUAAUUCCAUGAAUCGCUCCCAAGCUUUAUAUAACAUCUCAUCCUCUAAUUAACAAAAAGAUGUAAUAUCAUUUCAUAACUU
rnacentral:snoRNA from 1 species